rnacentral:rRNA from 1 species
GACGAACGCUGGCGGCGUGCCUAAUACAUGCAAGUCGAGCGGAAGUUGAAGAGCUUGCUCUUCAACUUUAGCGGCGGACGGGUGAGUAACACGUGGGCAACCUGCCCUGCAGAUCGGGAUAACUCCGGGAAACCGGUGCUAAUACCGAAUAGUUUUCGCCACCUCCUGGUGGCGUACGGAAAGACGGUUUCGGCUGUCACUGCAGGAUGGGCCCGCGGCGCAUUAGUUAGUUGGUGGGGUAACGGCCCACCAAGGCAACGAUGCGUAGCCGACCUGAGAGGGUGAUAGGCCACACUGGGACUGAGACACGGCCCAGACUCAUACGGGAGGCAGCAUGAGGGAAUCUUCCGCAAUGGACGAAAGUCUGACGGAGCAACGCCGCGUGAGUGACGAAGGUUUUCGGAUCGUAAAACUCUGUUGUGAGGGAAGAACAAGUACCACCUAACUACUGGUACCUUGCCGGUACCUCACCAGAAAGCCACGGCUAACUACGUGCCAGCAGCCGCGGUAA